UUCUAAAGGACAGCGGGUUCUUCCGGUACCUCCACACGGCGGUCAUCGUUAGCGGAACCAUGCUGGUGUUUGGAGGGAACACUCACAACGACACGUCCAUGAGCCACGGCGCCAAGUGCUUCUCCUCGGACUUCAUGGCCUAUGACCUGGCAUGUGAUGAGUGGUCAGUGCUGUCCAGACCAGACCUCCACCAUGAUGUCAACCGGUUUGGACACACGGCCGUCUACAGUGACAGUGUGAUGUAUGUGUUCGGGGGUUCAACAGUCUGUUGUUGAGU